GGACGAACGCUGGCGGCGUGCUUAACACAUGCAAGUCCUUCGGAAAGGCCCUGCUUUUGUGGGGUGCUCGAGUGGCGAACGGGUGAGUAACACGUGAGUAACCUGCCCUUGACUUUGGGAUAACUUCAGGAAACUGGGGCUAAUACCGGAUAGGAGCUCCUGCUGCAUGGUGGGGGUUGGAAAGUUUCGGCGGUUGGGGAUGGACUCGCGGCUUAUCAGCUUGUUGGUGGGGUAGUGGCUUACCAAGGCUUUGACGGGUAGCCGGCCUGAGAGGGUGACCGGCCACAUUGGGACUGAGAUACGGCCCAGACUCCUACGGGAGGCAGCAGUGGGGAAUAUUGCACAAUGGGCGGAAGCCUGAUGCAGCAACGCCGCGUGCGGGAUGACGGCCUUCGGGUUGUAAACCGCUUUCGCCUGUGACGAAGCGUGAGUGACGGUAAUGGGUAAAGAAGCACCGGCUAACUACGUGCCAGCAGCCGCGGUGAUACGUAGGGUGCGAGCGUUGUCCGGAUUUAUUGGGCGUAAAGGGCUCGUAGGUGGUUGAUCGCGUCGGAAGUGUAAUCUUGGGGCUUAACCCUGAGCGUGCUUUCGAUACGGGUUGACUUGAGGAAGGUAGGGGAGAAUGGAAUUCCUGGUGGAGCGGUGGAAUGCGCAGAUAUCAGGAGGAACACCAGUGGCGAAGGCGGUUCUCUGGGCCUUUCCUGACGCUGAGGAGCGAAAGCGUGGGGAGCGAACAGGCUUAGAUACCCUGGUAGUCCACGCUGUAAACGGUGGGUACUAGGUGUGGGGUCCAUUCCACGGGUUCCGUGCCGUAGCUAACGCUUUAAGUACCCCGCCUGGGGAGUACGGCCGCAAGGCUAAAACUCAAAGGAAUUGACGGGGCCCCGCACAAGCGGCGGAGCAUGCGGAUUAAUUCGAUGCAACGCGUAGAACCUUACCUGGGUUUGACAUGGAUCGGGAGUGCUCAGAGAUGGGUGUGCCUCUUUUGGGGUCGGUUCACAGGUGGUGCAUGGCUGUCGUCAGCUCGUGUCGUGAGAUGUUGGGUUAAGUCCCGCAACGAGCGCAACCCUUGUUCACUGUUGCCAGCACGUUAUGGUGGGGACUCAGUGGAGACCGCCGGGGUCAACUCGGAGGAAGGUGGGGAUGACGUCAAGUCAUCAUGCCCCUUAUGUCCAGGGCUUCACGCAUGCUACAAUGGCUGGUACAGAGAGUGGCGAGCCUGUGAGGGUGAGCGAAUCUCGGAAAGCCGGUCUCAGUUCGGAUUGGGGUCUGCAACUCGACCUCAUGAAGUCGGAGUCGCUAGUAAUCGCAGAUCAGCAACGCUGCGGUGAAUACGUUCCCGGGGCUUGUACACACCGCCCGUCAAGUCAUGAAAGUUGGUAACACCCGAAGCCGGUGACGUAACCGUUGUGGGGGAGCCGUCGAAGG
rnacentral:rRNA from 1 species